ACGUAGAAAUCUACCGAGUAGUGGGGGAUAGCCAGAAGAAAUUCUGAUUAAUACCGCAUGUGCACUAUGGUGUAAAGGAGGCCUCUAUUUAUAUGCUUUCGCUAUUUGAUGAGUCUGCGUCAGAUUAGCUUGUUGGUGGGGUAAUGGCUCACCAAGGCGACGAUCUGUAGCUGGUCUGAGAGGAUGAUCAGCCACACUGGGACUGAGACACGGCCCAGACUCCUACGGGAGGCAGCAGUGGGGAAUAUUGGACAAUGGGCGCAAGCCUGAUCCAGCAAUACCGCGUGUGUGAAGAAGGCC
rnacentral:rRNA from 1 species